CUACGGGCGGCUGCAGUGAGGAAUUUUGCGCAAUGGGCGAAAGCCUGACGCAGCAACGCCGCGUGAGUGACGAAGGCCUUCGGGUCGUAAAGCUCUGUCAAGCGGGAAGAACCCGCGGACGUCCAACAAGCGUCCGCGCUGACGGUACCGCUGAAGGAAGCACCGGCUAACUCCGUGCCAGCAGCCGCGGUAAUACGGAGGGUGCGAGCGUUAUUCGGAAUUAUUGGGCGUAAAGGGCGCGCAGGCGGCCCUGAAAGUCAGAUGUGAAAGCCCGGGGCUCAACCCCGGAAGUGCAUUUGAUACUGCAGGGCUUGAGUAUGGGAGAGGGAAGUGGAAUUCCUGGUGUAGAGGUGAAAUUCGUAGAUAUCAGGAGGAACACCGGUGGCGAAGGCGACUUCCUGGACCAAUACUGACGCUGAGGCGCGAAGGCGUGGGGAGCAAACAGGAUUAGAUACCCCAGUAGUC
rnacentral:rRNA from 1 species